CAAACAUACCUAAACCUAAUUCAGUUUUCUCUUUCUUCCAUCCAGCCUUCCUCUCUCCUUCCCUCCCUUUUGCUUACAAGUUCCAGCCUUCCUCUCUCCCUCCUCCAUAAUCAGAUUCAUGAAUCAAGACAAACGUGCGGUCGUCUCUCUACGAAAUCGCGCGUCUGCUUGCUCACGAAAUCGCUCGCUGCGGCCAAUCGUUCGUCUGCCUGACUGCCUCUGUCCGUGGCCAUUCGUCGCUGCCUCUCUACUCGCCGCAACCUCAUCAGUCAUCUGUCUCUAGAUCUCGUUGCUGCUUUGUUCAAAAUGUUCGAAUUUCUAUUUUGUUAUCGCUGAUUGUUGUUAGUUAGUGUUUUUUUGUUAGGUUUGAUUUUUGUUAGCAUAAAAUUUAAAGCUUAUAUUGUUAUUGUUGAGUUUAGAGUUUUGAUUUGGAGUUUGAAAUUUUGAUUUGGAAUUUUAAUUAGCUGAUUUUUGUUUAGAGUUUUUGUGUUGCACAUGAGUUGUUUGAGUUUAUGUCAAUAUAAAGUGUUAUGAGUU
rnacentral:lncRNA from 1 species